UUCAAUGAUGUUACCUGCAAGCAAGCCUUCGAUGUCGGGGUCUUUGGUAAAAAAAAAAAAAAAAAAAAAGGUCUCCUCUUCUUCCACCACAAGCGACCCUUCAAUGUCAAAACACUUUUGGGUCCUUUAAAGACCAACGCUCCUUCAAGACCAACCAGCAUGCCAGAGGCAUAAAAAUCUGAACCACCACCACCGGAGUAAACACCCCGCAUUCAGAGUUAAAAGACUCCAAAGAAAAGACGUCUGGUUCGGUCGACUGAGGCUGAUAGGAUCCGUUGAUUUUAGGAGCACGGAGACUGGCACGAAAAAACCAACGACCUGAGGCAGAAGAUUUCGUCUCCCAAGUAGCGCUAAACAAAAUUCUUCUCUCACGCAACUCAUCCAGCGUCGGCUGAAACAAACAGAUAUCUCCCAUCUGGUAUCGGAAAACGUAUCCAAAAGAUCCAAUCAUUCCAUAACCCUCCAAGCACCACUUCUCACGCAAAGACUCGGUUGGAGGAAUUUGAGUACGAUUCAAAAAAAUCCUACUUUUCCAAGGAGCGUCGUAGUAAGUUUUAUCAUUUUUAUAAAUUGAAACUGGCGUUUCGCUAAUCAUGCCUACUGAAACAACAGCUUUCUCCAUCUUUUCCAUUUUCUCUUAAUGCUCGUACUAACAAAGACUUACCAUUCACAUAUACCAGUGUAUGUGUGUGUGUGUACGUACAUGUGUUAAUACUCAAAAAGUCGUAAAUCGCAUU